UCCUCAGAUGCUGAGGAAUACAUUAGUGUUAAAGAGCCCCAUCAUAAACUGGACUGAAACUUCAGAAAACUCAGCAUAAUGAUCAUUAUCUUCUGCUUAAUGUUUAACGUGAUUCCAGUUUUAGGCUCUUCUCUCAGCGAUCAGGUCCACCAGACUCCAGCUGAGAUGUUCCACAAGCCUGGAGGAACAGCCCUCAUCAACUGUUCACACAGUAUUGAGGGCUAUGAUCGGAUACUCUGGUACAAACACUCUAACAACAAGCAGAUGCAGUUCCUGGGAUAUAAUGAUGUUAUAACUGGAUAUGCAGAGCCUGGACUGAAUGUGAAAAUGAAUGGCAGCGCAAAUAAAUACAAGAUCUGCACACUAACAGUUGAGGAUCUGAGUGUGGACAGCAGUGCAAUUUAUUUCUGUGCUGCUAGAUACCACAGUGUGUCAUAUUAA